UACAGUAUAGAAUACUCCUACAGUAUAGAUAAAGUUGAGAUCAUAAAGUGAUGUCGUGAAUAUUUUGUUUUCUUUGAAAUACUAUUAUUAAUUUCAUUAUGCUUUAUUUACUUCUCAAUUGAUGACAUUGGAACUCAUAAAUACCACCUACCGGUUUUUAAAAUAUAUUUGCAAAUAUUACAUCUUCAAUUUAUUGCAUUUCUUCUUUGUCUAUCACUUUCCCAACACUCUACUAAAUGAAAUGCUAAUUUGUUCAAAUAGAAUGCAAAAAUUAGAUUACUUUAAUUGGAAUUUGUUUAUUAUCACUUUAUGAAAUUUAACAAUUCAUUGAGUUCAGAGUUUAAAUUAUGAUUCUACAUUUGAUUUACUAAUUUUCCUAUUUUGCAAAUCACAA
rnacentral:lncRNA from 1 species